AAACCUGCCUUUCUGUGGGGGAUAACAUUCCUAACGGGGUGCUAAUACCGCAUGGUUCGUCGCAUCGCAUGGUGCGACGAUAAAGAUGGCCUCUACAUGUAAGCUGUCGCAGAAAGAUGGUCCCGCCUCCCAUUAGCUUGCUGGUGGGGUAAUGGCCUACCAAGGCGACGAUGGGUAGCCGGCCUGAGAGGGUGUCCGGCCACACUGGGACUGAGAUACGGCCCAG
rnacentral:rRNA from 1 species